AGAGUUUGAUCCUGGCUCAGGACGAACGCUGGCGGCGUGCUUAACACAUGCAAGUCGAACGAUGAAAUCACUUCGGUGGUGGAUUAGUGGCGAACGGGUGAGUAACACGUGGGCAAUCUGCCCUUCACUCUGGGACAAGCCCUGGAAACGGGGUCUAAUACCGGAUAACACUCUGUCCCGCAUGGGACGGGGUUGAAAGCUCCGGCGGUGAAGGAUGAGCCCGCGGCCUAUCAGCUUGUUGGUGGGGUAAUGGCCUACCAAGGCGACGACGGGUAGCCGGCCUGAGAGGGCGACCGGCCACACUGGGACUGAGACACGGCCCAGACUCCUACGGGAGGCAGCAGUGGGGAAUAUUGCACAAUGGGCGAAAGCCUGAUGCAGCGACGCCGCGUGAGGGAUGACGGCCUUCGGGUUGUAAACCUCUUUCAGCAGGGAAGAAGCGAAAGUGACGGUACCUGCAGAAGAAGCGCCGGCUAACUACGUGCCAGCAGCCGCGGUAAUACGUAGGGCGCAAGCGUUGUCCGGAAUUAUUGGGCGUAAAGAGCUCGUAGGCGGCUUGUCACGUCGGAUGUGAAAGCCCGGGGCUUAACCCCGGGUCUGCAUUCGAUACGGGCUAGCUAGAGUGUGGUAGGGGAGAUCGGAAUUCCUGGUGUAGCGGUGAAAUGCGCAGAUAUCAGGAGGAACACCGGUGGCGAAGGCGGAUCUCUGGGCCAUUACUGACGCUGAGGAGCGAAAGCGUGGGGAGCGAACAGGAUUAGAUACCCUGGUAGUCCACGCCGUAAACGUUGGGAACUAGGUGUU
rnacentral:rRNA from 1 species